rnacentral:rRNA from 1 species
GUCCGCACUGUAAACGAUGAUUACUCGCUGCUGGGAGGUAACCUUUCAGUGGCUUAGCGAAAGCGAUAAGUAAUACACCUGGGGAGUACGCCGGCAACGGUGAAACUCAAAGGAAUUGACGGGGGCACGCACAAGCGGAGGAGCAUGUGGUUUAAUUCGAUGAUACGCGAGGAACCUUACCAGGGCUUGAAAGUUAGUGACCGACUCUGAAAGGAGUCUUUCCGCAAGGACACGAAACUAGGUGCUGCAUGGCUGUCGU